rnacentral:rRNA from 1 species
UACGUAGGGUGCGAGCGUUAUUCGGAAUUACUGGGCGUAAAGCGUGCGCAGGCGGUGAUGUAAGACAGAUGUGAAAUCCCCGGGCUCAACCUGGGAAUUGCAUUCGAGACUGAAUAGCUAGGGUACGGUAGAGGGAAGCGGAAUUUCCGGUGUAGCGGUGAAAUGCGUAGAUAUCGGAAGGAACAUCAGUGGCGAAAGCGGCUUCCUGGACCAGUACCGACGUUCAGGCACGAAAGCGUGGGGAGCAAACAGG